UCCUGUCUAUUUUGUACUCGAGUGAGCGCGUGUCGUUCCAAUCUUGUACUUUGAACUACGAUUAUGUGAUUUGCUGGUUUUGUGUGGUGUUGUAUUUGUUGUGUUACGUUUCCUUUGUCGUCCGUCAGCGUGUUGCUUCCCGUGUUUCUCCCAUUUCCUUUCUGCUCGGGGGUGCGGAAUGCCAGGGAAUGUUUGGCACGUUUGUUUAUGUAACUACCUUAAUAUGCUUGGGUAUAAACAUUAUGCUUUGCACAGGAAGUUUAGAUAUGACUGGUUAUGACACGAAAUGCCGAACGGCACUAAAGCACUUCCAAAGGACUAGAAUGAUACGUGAUAUAAAGGCUAUAUGACGGUAAAAACAUACCGACUAGAAAUAUGUGCACUGGGGAAAUAAAUGGUGGUAAAGACAGUUCAAAAUGACUAGAGGUAGAGUGAAUAAGUCAUAAAAAGGCUAAGUAGCAAGGUCUUGUGGUGAAAGUUCCAACAUCAAAGUAUCACAAGUCCAGUUGCAACAGCAAGUUUGAAGCAGUCAAGCAGCUGAGGUCUGGCUGUCACCUUCUCUGUAUAUUCUUUGGCAAGGUGGUACAGUCCGAUACUGCUGUAGCACUGGGAAACUUCUUUGAUCAGACGGAUCACAUUGUUUUCAUUUGGGCUGCAUUCAAACAUGUGUUGUCGCAAGCUUAAGCAGCGAGAAUAAAGAGUAGACAUUCGA